GCAUUAAUGGGGUAGUGGUAACCUGGGUCGUUGCCAUAACAUGAUCUGUCUCGACCCGCCGGGGGUUCAAUUCCCCCUUAAUGCA